GGUUAAGUGAAUAAGGGCGCACGGUGGAUGCCUUGGCACUAGGAGCCGAUGAAGGACGGGACUAACACCGAUAUGCUUUGGGAAGCUGUACGUAAGCUAUGAUCCAGAGAUUUCCGAAUGGGGGAACCCAGCAUCUUUAAUAGGAUGUUACGAUUGUGUAAAUACAUAGCACAUUCGAGGUAGACGCAGAGAACUGAAACAUCUAAGUACCUGCAGGAAGAGAAAGAAAAUUCGAUUCCCUGAGUAGCGGCGAGCGAAACGGGAAAAGCCCAAACCAGCAAGCUUGCUUGUUGGGGUUGUAGGACUCCA
rnacentral:rRNA from 1 species